AGUCUCUCCUGGGUGGUCAAGGGAGGAGAACUGGCUCCUUGCAAGCAAGCAAGCAAGCAAGCAAGCAAGCAAGCAAGCAAGCAAGCAAGCAAGCAAGCAAGCAAGCAAGCAAGCAAGCAAGCAAGCAAGCAAGCAAGCAAGCAAGCACCUUGCUGGGGAUGGCUGGCCAAGGCCAGGCAGGUGCAUAGGGCUGAAGGGAAAGUGGGCCAGGGACAAUAGCAGGCAAGGGAAGAGAAGGAGGGCGGAGAGGCUGCCGCUAGAGGGUCCCUGGGUCAGGACCCAGAGUAGCAGGUGUGCCUGGAUUCCCCCCCCUUCCCCUUGUGCUACACUGGGCUGAAGAGGAGUGUGGCCCGAUCCAGGCUGUGGCUGGGCCCUGCGAUAAGGGGCUAGACGUAGAGGCUGCAGCCGGCCACUACAACAGGUGCAGAUUGUGGACUGCUGAUAACACCAAACUCACCGGAAGGGGGUGAGACCGGAGCAGUGGGCACUGCUGGAGAGCAGUGUCCUGAAGAGGAUGCUGCUGAGUGGGGAGCAACGAGGGUCCCCAAAGCAGCAGAGCAGACGAGGGGCAAGGUACCAUGCGAAAAAGGUGCUCCAUGAAUAGACAGAGCUAAUUCCUGGAGCAACCAGAGGGAGGUGCCAGCAGUGAAUCCAGCUCCUUGUAGCUCCUGAGCUGCAUACAACCUGCUGAGCUCUUCAGAAAAUUCGGCUCUGAUGCUGGGUGCUGAGCACUCUGGUGCAAUUAUGGCCUAGAUGUCUGCCUCUCUGCAGAGCUGGAGUCCUCACUCGUGCAGUGACAAGAUGCACUGAAAACACAGGUGCAGGAGUGACCUCACUACACUCACCAGUCUUCCUUUACCACACACCAUUUAUUUCUUAGAAACAUGCUUUGAACAGUUGUUUGGUUUUUUUCCAAACAACAUUUCUCAUUCAACACUUCCCUGUGUCCUCCCAUCCCCAGCAAGCUCUGCUAACUUGCUGCAAAUAACUGAACCUGCUACAAGCUUGAAUUUGGAGUCAUCUGAACCUAGUUUGAUAUCUAGGGAACAAACUCCCAUGGGAGCUACGGACCAUCGCAAACCUCCUGAUCUUCCACUUCAAGUGUAAGGCAUGUUUCUCUGCCCUGACUUCUCUACCAUUAACCCAAAGCAUAUGAGCAUUUUAAACAAACCA